rnacentral:rRNA from 1 species
GACGAACCGAGCGAACGUUGUUCGGAAUCACUGGGCUUAAAGGGCGCGUAGGCGGGCUGCCAAGUCCGGGGUGAAAUCCUCCGGCUUAACCGGAGAAUGGUCUCGGAUACUGGCGGCCUGGAGGGAGGUAGGGGCGUGCGGAACUGUGGGUGGAGCGGUGAAAUGCGUUGAGAUCCACAGGAACUCCGGUGGCGAAGGCGGCACGCUGGACCUUUUCUGACGCUGAGGCGCGAAAGCCAGGGGAGCGAACGGG